UCUGGCACAGCCCGGGGGCGGGGCAGCUCCUGGGGGCGGGGCUCUGGCUCAGCUCAGGGGCGGGGCAGCUCCUGGGGGCGGGGCUCUGGCACAUUGUGACGCGGAGCCCGGGCUGAACAGCUGCUUCCUGGUUCUCCACGUGCUGCCAGCAGCGCUGGAGCUGCCCGAGCCGGAGCGGAGCCGCUGUUCUCAGCUGCAGCCAGGAUCUGCCCCCGGCCCCGCUGGGAUCCAGGCCAGAGAAUAACAUCCAUGUUUCGCUGCAGAUCAUCUCGUCCUCCCAGGGGCAAGGAAAUGGCUGCAAUGGAGCUGGCUCAGGGGCCGGUGACCUUCGAGGAGGUGUCUGUGUAUUUCUCCAGGGAAGAGGGGACUCUGCUGGACCCCACUCAGAGAGCCCUCUACAGAGAUGUCAUGCAGGGGAACUAUGAGACGAUGGUCUUGCUGGGUAAGGAUUCCUGUCCCUUCUGUUCUUGGAAGGGGAAAUGAAGAGUGAAGGUUCAUGCCACCCCCACAAUGCCAUCUGUACCCUGUCCUGUUUCAGCAUCACCCCAAUAGGCCAGUAACAUACAUACUACCAGAGACCCUCCUCUGCUGCAGAACACUUUGGGAACAGAGCACAGGAGCAGCAUCACACAAUGUCAAAUAUCUCCUCUUUACUCAAGUAAAACUGGGGUUAGGUCCAGCAUAAUGAACAGAAGCUUCCU